UUUCGGAGCGUAAACUCCUUUUGUUAGGGAAGAAUAAUGACGGUACCUAACGAAUAAGCACCGGCUAACUCCGUGCCAGCAGCCGCGGUAAUACGGAGGGUGCAAGCGUUACUCGGAAUCACUGGGCGUAAAGGACGCGUAGGCGGAUUAUCAAGUCUCUUGUGAAAUCUAACGGCUUAACCGUUAAACUGCUUGGGAAACUGAUAAUCUAGAGUAAGGGAGAGGCAGAUGGAAUUCUUGGUGUAGGGGUAAAAUCCGUAGAUAUCAAGAAGAAUACCUAUUGCGAAGGCGAUCUGCUGGAACUUAACUGACGCUAAUGCGUGAAAGCGUGGGGAGCAAACAGGAUUAGAUACCCUGGUAGUCCACGCCCUAAACGAUGUAUACCGGUUGUUGCUGUGCUAGUCACGGCAGUAAUCCACCUAACGGAUUAAGUAUACCGCCUGGGGAGUACGGUCGCAAGAUUAAAACUCAAAGGAAUAGACGGGGACCCGCACAAGCGGUGGAGCAUGUGGUUUAAUUCGAAGAUACGCGAAGAACCUUACCCGGACUUGAUAUCUAACAAAUCAUCCAGAGAUGGAAGAGUGUCUGCUUGCAGAAAUGUUAAGACAGGUGCUGCACGGCUGUCGUCAGCUCGUGUCGUGAGAUGUUGGGUUAAGUCCCGCAACGAGCGCAACCCACGUCAUUAGUUGCUAACGGUUCGGCCGAGCACUCUAAUGAGACUGCCUUCGUAAGGAGGAGGAAGGUGUGGACGACGUCAAGUCAUCAUGGCCCUUAUGUCCGGGGCGACACA
rnacentral:rRNA from 1 species